GGGAGGGAUUGUGGUUUCUUGCAGGAGAUCCCGCUGUUGAAGGAUUUGAGGGGAGUCAUUUGGUUUUUGUGGCUGCUGGAGCAGACCCAUUUGAUGUAAUCACAAAUGCAGUGAAAUGCCAGACAUGUUGAACUGGUUUGGCUGGUGUACAUGGGAUGCUUUCUUUACUGAUGUCACUUCAGAGGGCGUAAAGCAAGGUUUAGAGAGCUUAGAGAAGGGUGGAAUUCCUCCAAAAUUUGUUAUAAUUGAUGAUGGAUGGCAAUCAGUUAGCAUAGAUCCCACUGGCACUGAAUCCAAAGCUGAUAACUCAGCCAAGUGAGUGCUUUAUGCAAAAGACUUUUCUUUCUUUUGU